rnacentral:rRNA from 1 species
UACGUAGGGGGCAAGCGUUGUCCGGAUUUAUUGGGCGUAAAGAGCGUGUAGGCGGCUAGGCAGGUCCGUUGUGAAAACUCGAGGCUCAACCUCGAGACGCCGAUGGAAACCAUCUAGCUAGAGUCCGGAAGAGGAGAGUGGAAUUCCUGGUGUAGCGGUGAAAUGCGCAGAUAUCAGGAAGAACACCCGUGGCUAAGGCGGCUCUCUGGUACGUGACUGACGCUGAGACGCGAAAGCGUGGGGAGCGAACAGG